AAUAAACACCCACACAACUAUAUUCACCAAGUGUUUAGUUCUGGUUCGAUGAUCAAGAUGAUUUUCCUUUUUUUUGAAUUCUCACUUACUACAGGGAUACGGUCGAAAAACUAUUGUUGGUGAUGGCCAUUUAUGAACUUUCUUCAAACUGGCUUACUGACUGACCUUUGUCAAUGAUAAGCAGAAAUGAUUUGAAAUAUUGUAAUUCAUUUUGUUUUGUUUUUUUCUUCGUUUUCAACAUGUGUGUUUUAUAAGUGGAAUCGUUGUUUGCUAUGAAUGAAUCACGAAUGUGUUUUGUGAAAGCGGAUCUUUUCUUCACUGAAAAUGAAUCUAAUGAAUGAAUGAAUCUCUACUCCACAAUGAAUUUGUAUUCAUUCAUUUAAAUGACGAUUCGAGUGUGUGUUGUAACAAAGUAACCGAGAAAAAAGAAUGCCGACCAAUGAUGAUAACAACAACAAUAACCGAAGAAAGAAAUCAAAGAAUCAAACCGAACAACGAAUAAAGAAUUGUUAAAAUGAACGAUUGUGAAAGAAAAAAAAUAGCCAACUGAUGAAAUAUUGGCAUCAUUGUCUGUAUUGUAUUUUGGGUGUUUUUUUCCAUCAAUCCAGCCCGAUGAUAGAAUCGAAUUGAAUCAAUCAAUCAUUUUUUCUCUCGAUAGAACGUGUGUCAAUGACUUUCACUUUGUUCUUUCUUUAUUCAUUGUUCUAUUGUGAUUAUAGAUUCAAGGAACGAAAGAGAAUCAAAUCAUGGCCAUUCAACACCGCCAAUUCAUUUUAACAGACGAUAUAUUUUCAUUGAUGAUGAUAAUUAUUAUUGAUUGCCACAACAACUCUUUCUCAAUCGAUUGAUUACAAUUCGAUGAAAUCAUCACUUUCAUUAAUAUUACAUCAUACACACGUAUAUGAUGGAUUUUAGAAAUACGUUCGCCAAAAAACGUCGAUAUUUCAAGAUGAUGAUAAAAUGAGUCAUUUUUUUCUCGAAUCAAAAAUUAUUUCUUCCUCGACGACAACGAUUACUACACCAAAAAUAUAAACAAAAUGUAAACCCAAUCUACCACCUGCCAUUUGCUGGACGAACGAAUGAAAAAAAUCCAAUGUAGCCAUCCAAUCUACUCAGAUAAAUUGAUCAUGAUGAUGAUGGAAUGAAGAGAAUAACAAAAUUGAUUACAAUCAACCGAAUCAUCAUCAGCAUUAUUUGUUGUUUAAUUAUCGAAUUUAAAUGUAGAAACAAAUGUAUCGAUCAAAACAAACCGACAACAACGACAACAGUAACAACAACAUAGCUUGAACAGAUUUGACCUGAUCGAUCAAUCGAUCGUUUGAUCGAUUCAUUCCAUUCCUUUAACACACAACAUUACGAUCUGACAAAAUAACAACAACAACAAACCAAAAUGAACCGAUUAAAUCUCAUCAUCAUUAUCGUUCCGAUAACAAAUUGUUUGUUUGGCCGGCUUUAGGUUUUUCUCUGUUUCAAAAUCUCAUACUUGCAAUCACAUUGAUGAUGUGAACAUCAAUUACAACAACAACUAUCGAGAUUCAGGACGCCACAAAUGAAGCUUUUUCUUUGGUGCGAAUGUGGUGUUGUUUUUUUUGUCUAUUCAAACUACGAAACAAACACAAAUAAUGAAUCCCUCACUUCUGAAACACGAAUGAUUACUUUAUUUCUCACUUAUGUUUUGCAUCGAUUUUUACCUUUGCUCUUGUGUGUCUGUUUGUGUUUAUAAUUAAUGAACUAAUUGUCAAGAUGGACGUUAUUUUGAAAAAUGAAGAGAAAAUACCAUUUUUACAAAACAACAAAUGAAAACAUCAAAUAGUAUUACAAAUUGGAAAAAUCUAACCAGAUGCCAAUAUUUUCGUCCAGAUUGUUACAAUUUUUUUCCUAUUAGAAUGAAUGAUUUGACUGACCACUCUCAAUUCAAAAUGGAAAUGGUUUGUCCAUGUUUUACCUGUGGCUAACUAAUAAUUGAUUUGUCCAUAGUUAAUGAUUCACGUGGCAUUUUGGAUUGAAAGGUUCAACAUUUGAAAAUCAUUUAUCGAAUUAAUCAAUAAAUUGAUGAACUAAUCAAAUUCAGACUUUAAUCCUCUCAUCAACAUGAUCAUUAAUGGACCAAAAUGCAAAAAAAACAUUUCGUAUCAUUAUCGUCGUCAUUUGGUGAGAAUUUGAGGAAUUCUUGCGAAAAAAACUUUUUCAAACAUUAAUUUUCAUCUUACAAAGAAUCCAUGCACAAACAACGACAACAAAUAACAUUAAUAGCCAUCAUGAAUUGAUAAUUAUCAUUUCAAUGAAGAAUUGAUCAUCCAUUUUCAAUUUACGGAAAAAGUAUCGAUACGCGAUCAUCAUCAUCAUUAUCGUGAUCAUUAUUUAAUUGUAUUAUUUUCGUCAGACAAACAAAUAAACACGAGAGACAUUCCAUAGUCUCGAUAUCCAAUAAAUCGAUCCUCAUCAUCAUCAUUAUUUCAUUCGAUCUUAAUGGACGAGAGAAAAUGGAAAGAAAAUUCCUCGUUUUUGUCAUUUCAAUUGAUUUAUCUUGUCUAUUUAUCUAUUACUAUUCGGUCUGGUUGCGAAUUCCGUAGACCUUGAAAAUAAUUACAUCAUCAUCAUCAUCAUCAUCGUGAAUGCAUUAAAAACAUGAAAAAUUCCUAACGAAUCAAUUUCAUUUAGCCUGAUGAUGAUUAAAUUGAAGAAUUUCGUUCAACAAUCAUUACAUUGGAAUUUCGAAAAACUUAUAACGAUGGUCAAGGUGAAACCCGUUUUCAACAUUGACUGACUGACUGACCGAUUGAUUAAUUGAUUGAUUGAAUGGUUGAAUGUGGAAACAGAUUGACCAAACCAAAUGAUGAUGAUGGCAUGCGACCAGAUUCAAUCAUCGUGUG